AAACUACUCCCUCCGUCCGGAAAUACUUGUCGGAGAAAUAAAUGUAUCUAGACGUAUUUUAGUUCUAGAUACAUCCAUUUUUAUCCAUUUCUCCGACAAGUAUUUUCGGACGGAGAGAGUACAUG
rnacentral:pre_miRNA from 1 species